CAGUAGCCGCGGGAAAACGUAGGGCGCAAGCGUUGUCCGGAAUUAUUGGGCGUAAAGAGCUCGUAGGCGGCCUGUUGCGUCCGCUGUGAAAUCCCGGGGCUUAACCCCGGGCCUGCAGUGGAUACGGGCAGGCUAGAGGCAGGCAGGGGAGAACGGAAUUCCCGGUGUAGCGGUGAAAUGCGCAGAUAUCGGGAGGAACACCGGUGGCGAAGGCGGUUCUCUGGGCCUGUUCUGACGCUGAGGAGCGAAAGCGUGGGGAGCAAACAGGAUUAGAUACCCGCGUAGUCCCUGUCUCUUAUAC
rnacentral:rRNA from 1 species